AUUCUUUCAUUAAUUUCACUCACUGUCUCACUCGAUUCUUUCAUUUAAUUUCUUUCUAAAUCGAUCAAAGAUGCUUAUCAUUUAUCAAGACUCUCCCUCACCACACGCUCCACCGCCUUCGUUGCCGGGACUCUCAUCCCCCACCCCAUUCUCCUACUCUUUACCUCGCACUCCACCGCCAUCGUUGCCGGGAGUUGCGGCGGCGACACCCUCGUCAUCGCCCACACCACUGUCAUGUAUGAUAAAGAAAGCAGAGAAGGAGGCACAUUUAUUUCUGGAAAAUAAUAGAAAGUUACAAAACACGAAGGAAGCUUUAGAGGCAAAGCGAACACAACAAAUUCGCAUUCUUAUGUCUAUGCGCUGAUUUAAUAGAACAACGAAUCCUUCUUCUUAUUCUCUUCUUCCUUCACUCGUUUCAUGUGGUUUUGUUUUUCCAUUUUAUAAAUUUGAUUUCUUCAUCCUAACUUUGUUUUUCUCUUAGGAUAUCGGGAACAAGGUUCUAAAUUUGGUUUCAUAGGGUCUUUUUGUGAGUUGACUUUUAAAGGGGGAAAAGCGAAAAAAAAAAGACUUUAGAGUCAUCUCACCAGUGUAUCUCAAACCUUCAAUUUAUAUCCUCCAAAAUUAACUCUCAAACAAACCCUAAAGGUUUUGGUAGUUGUUGCUCGCAAUUAUGGGUUACUUCAAGAUUUUGGGAGUGGAACUAUAACCUUGAGUGCGACUAGUGAGCUUUAAUUAACAACUUCUCUUCAGGAUCAUACUUAAU
rnacentral:lncRNA from 1 species